AGAAAAAAAUUACGGUGUCGAGAAGUAGACAAGGACCCAAGUUCCAUUUUGGGUCGGAAGAACUAGAAAACUCAAAAGAUCACCACUCUUUUAGUGAGAAAACUAGCAAAGGGAGAAUGUUGCACUAUGUUACCCAAAGAGUGGAUCAAAAUUGCACUAAAACACAACACAAAAAAGGAAAAUUUUAAUCAGUUGAACGACAAGAUAAUCGAUAAAAAACUAAAGAAAGUUUAAACGGUAAGCAUAAGAAAAACCAUGCACCUGAGAUGAAGAGAGAAAAAGGAGAGGACGGAGACAAUGACGUUAUGAGAAAAUACAAUGCAAUGCCGGAAGAGAUAGAAAGUAGAGGUGCGCAAGGGAGUAAAAGAAGAGGAAAAAAAGAGAAAAAGGAGAAGAGAUGAAGACGCAAUCAGAAACUGAGUGGUUAGAAGGGUCUGCGGUUUAUUUAAAAUGAAAUUGGGCGUCGGUUGCGCCAAAAACCGACGUCUAUAGACGUCAGUGUUUGAUUGGGAUCCGACAUCUAUUCUUCUUAAAGAAGCUGAAAAGAUUGACGCUUGAUUUCCUGUCAGGGUAGUUCACGUCGGUGCCCCUCCUAACCGACGUCUAAAACCCUCGAAUUUGGUGAAAAUAAUCAAUUACAGGAACGUAGACGUCGCUUACGUUCAGAACCGACGUCUAAAUUGAAGGAUUUUUGUCUUCCCGCCUUCCAGAUAGGCCUUAGACGUCGUCGUUUGACUACGUGACGUCUAAGCGCCUGGGAAUUUGGUGAACAACAUUAAUUGUAGCCCAGUUGACGUCGCUUGUUC
rnacentral:lncRNA from 1 species